UUAAGUUAGUUGCCAUCAUUAAGUUGGGCACUCUAAGUUGACUGCCGGUGACAAACCGGAGGAAGGUGGGGAUGACGUCAAAUCAUCAUGCCCCUUAUGAUUUGGGCUACACACGUGCUACAAUGGACAAUACAAAGGGCAGCGAAACCGCGAGGUCAAGCAAAUCCCAUAAAGUUGUUCUCAGUUCGGAUUGUAGUCUGCAACUCGACUAUAUGAAGCUGGAAUCGCUAGUAAUCGUAGAUCAGCAUGCUACGGUGAAUA
rnacentral:rRNA from 1 species